rnacentral:rRNA from 1 species
CUUUCGGGCACAGUGGCGGACGGGUGAGGAACACGUACGUAACCUGCCCCGAAGCGGGGGAUACCCGCUCGAAAGGGCGGCUAAUACCGCAUGUGGCCUCUCGGUUGUGGCCGGGAGGGUAAACGCGCAAGCGGCUUGGGGAGGGGCGUGCGGCGGAUUAGCCAGUUGGUGGGGUAACGGCCUACCAAAGCGACGAUCCGUAGCUGGUCUGAGAGGACGGCCAGCCACACGGGGACUGAGACACGGCCCCG